CGAUUCUCGAAUGAAAACAAGGCGAGUCGCAGCUACAUUCACGCGCUUCCGUGUUUACGUCCGCGCUGUUGUGUCUAUUUCGCGCUCGAAGAUUACUAUCGGAAAAGUGUCUCGUGACGUAAAAAAUAAAGAUAAAUGCACGCGUUAUUAUAUUAUUGCGAUCUCGCCGUGAUUAGCUUUGUGUGUUUCAUUAUUAAUUCUCUCGCGUCAGAUUUGAUUUCUUCGCUGUUCGUCGCAAAAUCAUUAUUGUCAGACAAGUGCUAAAAUAUCAAUCAAAUAAUCAGUAUAUAUUUGCCAUGAAAUACAUCCUUGGAAAAACGCUAAAAAUAUUUCGUAUAGUGCGUCUAUAUAAUUUCCCUAGUUCGAGACUCAUCAUAAUUGCUUUCCGAUAGAUGGCAAUCGAUCGCGUGUCGCGAUCGAUAGGUCGAUAGGUCGAGUCGUCUCGCGGGAUCGCUCGCGAUCACGUGAUCAUUCCCGCAAAGAUGGCCGCUCGUGAGUGUUCCCGCGUAUAAAAGUGUCCGCAAAAAUAGCGCGCGAGCAAUUACGCGCCAAGUGUUCGCCGAGUCUUUCGUAACGUAACGUAACGUGUGUGUAACGCGAAUGUGAUUAAAAUUAUUUGUGAUUAAAAUGAAAAUUCGUGACAACAAAUUUUCAUUAGAAAAUGAUAUUCCGGAAGUGAAUGUGCAAAGUGGUCGGAGUGUUCCGGAGACGACACGACAGUCGAGACUUCAGCAGCUUGGGUCGGCUUCGAUCAGCUUCAGUUAGUUCCUCGAACGGAGAAUUGGAGCAAGAAUCUCCGGAACUGACUGAAAGCUGCAACGAC